CAAUAGCGUAUAUUAAAGUUGUUGCAGUUAAAAAGCUCGUAGUUGGAUUUCUGGUCGGAAGCUCCUAUCCUCUGAUGAGCGUACAAGUGCGUCCUACCAUCCUUCUGUUAACCUUUAAGGCUUUCGCGGCUUUCUAGGGGCUCAGAUAUUUUACCUUGAGAAAAUUAGAGUGUUUCAGGCAGGCUAGCGCCGGAAUACAUUAGCAUGGAAUAAUGGAAUAGGACUUUUGCCUCUUCUGUUGGUCAUGAGGCUCGAGUAAUGAUUAAUAGGGAUAGUUGGGGGCAUUAGUACUUAACUGUCAGAGGUGAAAUUCUCGGAUUUGUUAAAGACUAACUUAUGCGAAAGCAUUUGCCAAGGAUGUUUUCAUUAA
rnacentral:rRNA from 1 species